rnacentral:rRNA from 1 species
ACCAGCAGCCGCGGUAAUACGUAGGGGUGCAAGCGUUAAUCGGAAUUACUGGGCGUAAAGCGUGCGCAGGCGGUGAUGUAAGACAGUGUGAAAUCCCCGGGCUCAACUUGGAAAUGCAUCUGUGACUCCAUCGCUGGAGUACCGCAGAGGGGGAUGGACUUUCGCGUGUAGCAGUGAAAUGCGUAGAUAUGCGAAGGAACACCGAUGGCAAAGCCAAUCCCUUGGACCUGUACUGACGUUCAUGCACGAAAGCGUGGGGAGCAAUCAGGAUUAGAUACACAUGGUAGUCCACGCCCUAAACGAUGUCAACUGGUUGUAGGGUCUUCAAUGACUCAGUAACGUAGCUAACGCGUGAAGUCGAUCUCCUGGGGAGUACGGCCGCAAGGUUGAAAUUCAAAGGAAUUGACGGGGACCCGCACAAACGGUGGAUGAUGUGGUUUAAUUCGAUGCAACGCGAAAAACCUUACCCACCUGGUCAUGUACGGAAUUUGCCAGAGAUGGCUUAGUGCUUGAAAGAGAACCCUUUCACAGGUGAAGCAUGGCUGUUGUCAGCUUGUAUCGUGAGAAGUUGGGUUAAGUCCCGCAACGAGAGCAACCCUUGUCAUUAGUUGCUCCAUCCAGUUGGGCACUUUAAUGACACUGCCGGUGACAAACCGGAGGAAGGUGGGGAUGACGUCAAGUCCUCAUGGCCCUUAUAGGUGGGGGUACACACGUAAUACAAUGGAUGGUACAAAGGGUUCACAACCCGUGAGGGGGAGCUAAUCCCCUAAAUCCAGUCGUAUUCCGGAUCGCAGUCAGCAACUAAACUGAAAGAAGUCGGAAUCGUUAGUAAUCGUGGAUCAGAAUGUCACGGUGAAUACGUUGCCGGGUCUUAUACACACCGCCCGUCACACCAUGGGAGCGGGUUCUCCCAGGGGUAGUUAGCUUAACCUCGAGGAGGGCGUCUCUAGUAGCUACACUCGAGACUGGCGAAACUCAUGUCAUACGAUAAAGGUG